CGCGGUAGUGCCAUCGUCUCCCCCUGGAGAGAGGGAAGGAGACACGAGGGCGAGUCCCUAGCUGGAGUGGGAAGACCGGAGAGAAGCGGAAAGACGCUCCCGGGGAGCGCGCAGAAGGAACUCUCCCCGAAGGUCCUCUGAGGAGGAGAAACAAAGCAAGGCGUGCAUGAGCGACACGGGAGAUUAUAUGGCAAGGUGGAGUCUCGCUCUGUCUCCCAGGCUGGAGUGCAGUGGCGCGAUCUCGGCUCACUGCAAGCUCUGCCUCCCGGGUUCACACCAUUCUCCUGCCUCAGCCUCCGGAGUAGCUGGGACUACAGGCGCCCGCCACCACGCCCGGCUAUUUUGUAUUUUUAGUAGAGACAGGGGUUUCACCGUGUUUGCCAGGACGGUCUUGAUCUCCUGACCUCGUGAUCCGCCCACCUCGGCCUCCCAAAGUGCUGGGAUUACAGGCGUGAGCCACCCUGCCAGGCCUCAUGUUUGCUUAUCUUAACCAAAAUGAGCCCUCGUUUCACUUUCCUGUUCUACCCUAAGGAAGAUAAAAUAUCAUUCCAACUUGGGGUAGAGGCAGGUGCCAGUACCCAAGACCCUGGGCUGUGCAGCAGGGGCUACUGUAAACCCAAGACCCUAAACUUCCUCCCUCUGCCAGAGCCAGGGAGCAGCUCUGACGCCCUCUAGCCCCUUCUCCGUUAGCCUCGAUUUCAAAUAAAAACACUGUGAACAUGAA
rnacentral:lncRNA from 1 species